rnacentral:rRNA from 1 species
AAUAUUGGACAAUGGGGGAAACCCUGAUCCAGCCAUCCCGCGUGUAUGAUGAAGGCCAUCGGGUUGUAAAGUACUUUUGGCAGAGAAGAAAAGGUAUCUCCUAAUACGAGAUACUGCUGACGGUAUCUGCAGAAUAAGCACCGGCUAACUUCGUGCCAGCAGCCGCGGUAAUACGAAGGGUGCAAGCGUUAAUCGGAAUUACUGGGCGUAAACCGGGGUUGGUUGUUCCGUUAGGUGGAAGGUGAAAGCCCCGGCCUUAACCUGGAAAUUGCUUUCAAAACGACCGGCCUAGGGUAGGUAGGAGGUUGUUGGAUUUCCUUUUGUGGCGUUGAAAGGGGAGGAUAUAGGAAGAACCACCAUUGCGGAGGCGGCCUCCCUGAAUUGUUACUAACACGAGGUGGCGAAAGCGUGGGAGCAAACAGG